rnacentral:rRNA from 1 species
UACGAAGGGGGCUAGCGUUGUUCGGAAUUACUGGGCGUAAAGCGCGCGCAGGCGGCUAUCCAAGUCAGUGGUGAAAGCCCGGAGCUCAACUCCGGAACUGCCAUUGAAACUGUUUAGCUUGAGGAUGAGAGAGGUGAGUGGAAUUCCCAGUGUAGAGGUGAAAUACGUAGAGAUUGGGAAGAACACCAGUGGCGAAGGCGGCUAUCUGGACGGUUUCUGACGCUAAGACGCGAAAGCGUGGGGAGCAAACAGG